GACGAACGCUGGCGGCGUGCCUAAUACAUGCAAGUCGAACGCAGUGGGGACGGGUGAGUAACACGUGGCUAACCUCCCAUCAGAGGGGAUAACACUUGGAAACAGGUGCUAAACCGAUACUGGUUGAUGGACCCGCGGUGCAUUAGCUAGUUGGUGAGGUAACGGCUCACCAAGGCCAAGAUCAAUAGCUGACCUGAGAGGUUGAUCUGCCACACUGGGACUGGGACACGGCCCAGACUCCUACGGGAGGCAGGAGUGGGGAAGAUUGGGCAAUGGACGAAAGUCUGAGCCAGCAACGCCGCGUGAGUGAAGAAGGCUUUCGGAUGGUAAAACACUGUUGUUAGAGAAGCGGUAUCUAACCAGAAAGCAACGGCUAACUACGUGCCAGCAGCCGCGGUAAUUC
rnacentral:rRNA from 1 species